UAUUAGUCGGCUGGGCUAACUCCGGUUCUUCUACUGCUGCCUUCCUCGCGCAGCAGCAGCAGCAGCAGCAGCAGCAGCAGCCUCUCCCUCCUUCACCUUUGCUUUUCUUGUGGGGUGGAUCAGCCGCUAGGGUCCCUCUCGGUGCUUGCGCCUGUGUGUGGAAUGUACCGCGCUAGAUCCUGCGGCGUCGUGGCGACGUCAGCGGCAGUCCCGCGUGUCCUUACCGCUCUCGACACGGUGGCCCGUAGCUACACGCCCAUCUACGCUCCUGACCCGGCCACUGAUCACCUCGGCGCCCUCCGCAGUGCCGACGAAUGCCGAACCUUGUGGGCUCCGCACAUUCCUGUGCCGUCGCUGACACGCGCCAUCGAGCUCUGGCUGCGCUUCGGUAAUGACCCGGUCGUCCACACCGCUGCCUCUCCUGCAUCAGCGGAGCGGGCGGAAGGGGAUGCGGCGCCGUCGUCGACAUCGCCCUUCGCCUAUGUAGAGGACUACAUGGGGUCGAACAUGGUCACCGGUGCACCAGAACACGUCAAAGAGAGCGCUGAGCUCUGGUCCGAGUACUUCGAAAAGAAGUACGUGCGACGUAUGCGCCAGUCGCGGCGCACGUCGAAGCAGUACGUGGGCGUGCUUGGCGCGGACGGCAGAGGUCGCGGCGCGGGAGAGAGCGGCGGCGGCAGCCCGUCCUCGUCGCUCGCCAGCGUGCUCCUCGACGAAGCGGAUCACCCGAAUACGAAGUGGGAGGCCGACACGUUCUUCUGCGAGGUUGCCUACCUCAGCGAACGUCACCUCAAGACGAGAGUAACGAACCACCUGCAGCUCGAAAAGCUGCUCUGGGGCGGCACCGCAAAGCCGGAUGCGUUUGUGCAGUUUUUCGAGGCCUUUCAGCAGCAGACUAUCACCCGCAUCCCCCUUCCCGUUCCGUCCAUCUGGGUGUACGAGAGCACAGAGGCGAAGAAGAAGUGGGCGGAACGCUACCUGCCAGCCUGCAGCGCCGCGCACGAGUUCUUCCAGGAGAAGCUGCGUCCCCACGCCGCCGACGCACCUGCACAGGCGAAGCUACUGGCUGACAUCGCGGCCGCUUACCACCAGGUGCACGCCAUCCUGCUGGAGCGCCGCGCGCGUCAGGUCCAAGCAGGCGUGUACCCGAGUACGUGGACAGGUCGCGGCGCAGCUGCCACAGCGACGGAAGAGGCCUGGGCGGCGAACGAGGUGGAGAAGGAGCAGCGCCGCAUAGACGAGGGCAUCUACGACCCCGAGGAUCUCCUCGACACCACCGCCGAGUGGGCCGCCGAGCACGCGAAGAUCCAGGCCAUACUUGAGCAACCUCUCACGAGCACCGGCAGUAAUGGCGAGACGUCGUACGGCUUCUCCCUGCAGGACUUCUGGCUGCACACGGAGCGCAGAGAGGCGCUGGAGACGGUGCAUGUGCUGGAGUCCGAAUCCCUCGCCCGCGUCGCGGCCGCCGCACGCCGUCGACUCUACAGCGAAACGCCGUUACCUGACGUCUUCGCAGGGUUGGAGGAGAGUGUGGCGAAGGCACGCCUCGAUCUGCGUGCGGCGGUGUUGAAGCCCCACUUCAAUGGUGUGUGGUGUCGCAUGCAUUACGUCAAGUUCGGCGCUGCCUCGCUUGUGCAGCACACCCACACGGCGAGCCGGCAGCUGUUGUUCCACUACGCCGCCUCGACGCAGGUGGUGGCGGCUACAGCGGAGAUGUACUACUCCACGAAGCCCUUGAGCAGUCAGCUGGACUACGCAUCGCCGUACACCUUCCGCCGCUCUUUGGCGCGGCACUGCUCUCACUAUGGAGUGGAAAUGGCGCACGCGGCGCAGCAGCCGCUGCUGCUCAGCGCCGCCCACCUCGCCAAGGCAGAGGGGGUCAUAGGCCGUGUAGUUCGGCAGGCAGCCGCCCCGUUCGGCGCGCGUCGCCGGGCGCGGUACAGCGCAGCCCAGCUGAAUAAUCAGCGUCUGCUGAACCCAGUCAAAUCCGUGCAAGUGACGGCGCCAGCGCCGGAGCUGCUCGCUGCCGGUGCUGACCUGCUCACCAUCUUGCGGGAGGAGAAGACACCCAAGACAAAGGCAGCUGGGGAGGCUCUCAAGGUGUGGCCGCUGGGCUCACGGCAGACAGUCUCAUACGACUGGACGUCCCCGGCGCUCGACAAGCUGCGCCUCCUGCGCCUCACGGACGGCCCCCUCACCGCCGAGCAGGCGGUGCAGCGAGACCAGCUGCGGCAGGCGGGGCGACUCGAGAUUUCGCUGUGGCGACGGUGCACCGCCGAGGAGCGCCAAAAAGUGCGCGCGCGGAUGCAGAAGGAGGCGAUCGAUGUGCAGGCGCUCGUCUCCGAGACGCCGGCCCUCCAGGAGGUGUCAGCGUACGCCUCGCACCUCUACCGAAAACUCACUCGUGAGCAGGAGCAGGAGCAAUCGCACAGCGACGCCGCGUCGACGCCGCAGGCGUGGGACGAGGCCAGCGGAGAAUGGGUCUUUGCCGUCAUGCUUGACGAUAACGUGCCGCUCUCCGAGACGCAAUCGACGGAGGUAUUUCUCCCGUACGUCGACGCAGCGGGCCGGCGCCUGCCGAACGGCGAAUACCGUGUGGUCGUCCGCGCCGUGGACCGUGAGCUGAACCCGACCGAGCACCCGACACUCAUGAGCGAUGCCGCCUCCUCCCCCUUCUCCGUUGUCGAUGCACUCCCGCAGCUCUAUGCGCAGUACACACAGCAUCAGCACCCCGCCGACAAGGCCACGGGGGCGCCGACAGAGGCGCCGCUCGAGGGCGACAUGGCGGGCAAGGAUUUGAUGCCGUUCUGCGCUUUCCUUCGUGAGGCUGGCCUGCACAUCUCGCUCAGCGCCGAGUUCGCCAUGGGCCAGUCCUUGGAUAAGCAGGGUAAUGUCUCGGUGGCAGAGGUGGCAGCGGCGCUGAGAGGCACAGAGUACCACCGCAGUCAGUGUGAGCACGGCAUCACCGACGCCCAGCGCACCAUUGAGCCGCAGUGCCGUCUGCACUGGUCUCUCUAUCACCCAGGAGCGACGGAGCAGGAGUGGGCAGCGGCGCGGCGUCGUGUCCUGCGGCGUGCCAUGGCGGAGGAACGCGACUGGUGGCUGCCCGACCCUAUGCUGGAGGUGACGGAUGUGCGAACCGACAGCGCCGGUGCAGCGUCCUUCUCCUUUGGCGCCUACCCUGCCGUUGCACGGUAUGGCACGGAGCUGUGCACGGUUCUGCCUGCGCAUGGCUCGAAUCACAUGGAGUACGCUGUUUUGCCUCCGCCCCCUGGCGUCAAGGCCACGGCGCGUGGCACCGGCGCGCAGGUGCAUGCGGAGUGCACCGUGGACGGAACCGGUGCCCUCGCGUCGUUGCAUUACGGCGCACCCAUCAGCGCGGCGGACGUCACGGUCGAAGACGCGUUGAAGGCAGCCAUGGAGGCAAUACAAGUGGCGCAGAUGCGGCACAACACACUGUCGAUGGUGAAGCUGUGCGCGUUCGAGAAGCAGGCUCAGACGAUGCUGUUCUGCGGCAUUCAAGGCUUCGAGUUUGGUGGCAAGCACGGCCGCACAUAUGCGUACGCGUUGGAUAGGGCAAAGCGCGAGAUGGCGGCGACGGCCGAGGCUGGCCAAGUUGCCUCGCUCCAGGCCGCCGACGCCGAGAGGCUGCGGCUGUCAGAUCAGGAGCAGACGUCGGCUGCAGUGGAUCGCUUCGCAUCACAGACCAACCCUGAGCAGCGCCUGACCCGCUUCGUGCCGCGCUCGACCAUGAGCGGCUACAGCAUGGAGGAUGUAGGCCCCGAACGGACAUCCACAUGGGGCCUGUAGUGGAGCAUGCCAUCACCUCUCUGGGCGGACGCGUGAGGAAGGGAGAGGAGGGGAGUUGAUGGCGCAUGUCAUUUGAUUCCUAACGUUUGGCGGCCUCUGCCGGCGCGUCGAUGCGAUGCGCUGUGCAUGAAGAUAGCGCUGUUCGUGGCCGAGCUUCAGGCCGCUCCCUUAAUUCCUGUUGUUGUAGUUUGAUCGCGCGCGACACCAUCGCCUGUGUGCUGUCAUGAAUGAGAGUGGGGGUGGGCGGGUCUUGUGCAGGAGCGCGUUACCGGCGUCACCGUCGCUCUCCGUGUCGCAGGAACAUUUUCCUUAGUGGUUGGCGCUGGCUGAAUCCGCGGUCGCAGAAGUUUGGUUGGCGUUGUCUCUGUCCCCCGCCUUCGCCCCCCAUACUGUCUUCUCCCUUGUCUGACGUUCUCUGCGUGCACGCAGUUGUGGGGGGAGGCGUCUUCCCCCCUCCCUCCCUCCCCCGAGCGCUACUCGGGCACGCGCACACACGCGAACACUCAUCACCUGCGCAUACCUGCUCACGGGCAUACCUAGAGAGAGAGAGAGGGGACGGACUCACUUCCGUGUUCGUCAUUGUCACUCUCACACCUAAACACGCACAACAUCAAAGCAGCGGUGGCGCGGCUUCCCUUGCACCCGAUAGGGGAAGAGGCGCACAGCACCGUCGAUGGCGCUCACAUUCUGGCCAUCCGCUCGCACGCGCUUAUAGGCUGUUUUCCAUGCGGCUGUGCGCAUCGGCUCCUCCCCCACUCCACCGCACCCCACCCCUCCGAUAGCGAUGUUCUCUUUUACGAGCUCAUGCGUGGGUGCAUGCACGCACAUCCGCAAAUCACCACUUUCGCCAGCAUUCUCCCGUGCUACCCCACCCCACUCCCGCAACCCGUGAGCAUGAUUGUGCCCGUGUGUUUGUGUAUGUAUGCGCCUCUUCACGUUCAUGAUCGACUUGGUGACGGCAAAAUCACAG
rnacentral:misc_RNA from 1 species